rfam:Anaerolineaceae bacterium oral taxon 439 strain W11661, complete genome.
GUAAAAGCUACUAAGAGCUCACGGGGGAUGCCUUGGCGUUGAAUGCCGAAGAAGGACGUGGGACACUGCGAAAAGCCGGGGGGAGCUGUGAACGAGCGCCGAUCCCCGGAUGUCCGAAUGGAGAAAUCCGGCUGAGCGAACCUCAGUCAUCGACAUAUGAAUAUAUAGUAUGUCGAGGGGAACCCGGUGAACUGAAACAUCUAAGUAACCGGAGGAAAAGAGAGGAUUCCCUGAGUAGUGGCGAGCGAAAGGGGAAGAGCCCAAACCGAUAUGCAGGGAUGCAUAGCGGGGUAGUAGGAUCAGCGAGAAGUGAAAAAAGCGAAGCAGAAGCAGAAGGGCGUGGGAAAGUCCGGCAGAGAGGGUGAGACCCCCGUAAGCGAAACUGCGGAGACACGAGCUGACACCUGAGUAGUGCCGUGCACGCUAAUACGGCAUGAAGCUGGGAAGACCACUUUCCAAGGCUAAAUACAUUCAGCGACCGAUAGAGGACAAGUACCGUGAGGGAAAGGUGAAAAGUACCCCGAACAGGGGAGUGAAAGAGAACCUGAAACCGUGAGCUUACAAGCAGUCGGAGCCCGAUGCGAAAGCGAGGGUGACGGCGUGCCUCUUGGAGAAUGAGCCUGCGAGUUAUUUGACGUGGCGAGGUUAAGGGAGAGGAACCUGGAGCCGAAGCGAAAGCGAGUCUGAAGAGGGCGAAGGAGUCGCGUUGAAUAGACACGAAACUGGAUGAGCUAACCAUGUGCAGGAUGAAGCGAGAUUAAGCCCUCGUGGAGGUCCGAACCUUUCAAUGCUGCAAAAUUGAGGGAUGACGUGUGGUUAGGGGCGAUAUGCCAAACGAAUUCAGAGAUAGCUUGUUCUCCCCGAAAUAGUUUUAGGACUAGCGUGUGGGGGAAAACUUAUGGAGGUAGAGCACUGGCUGAGUAAGGGGGACAAGGUCUUACCGAACUCAAACAAACUGCGAAUGCCAUAAGGGGAACCAUGCAGUCGGACUGCGGGUGAUGAGAUUCGUAGUCGAGAGGGAAACAGCCCAGAUCAUCGGCUAAGGUCCCGAAUUAUAUGCUAAGUGGGAAACGAUGUGGAGCUACAGAGACAACCAGGAGGUUCGCUCAGAAGCAGCAAUCCUUUAAAGAGUGCGUAAAAGCUCACUGGUCAAGUGGUUGUGCGCGGAAAAUGUAACGGGGCUAAGCAUAUAACCGAAGCCAUGGGAUUUGUUGAAAGACAGAUCAGUAGGGGAGCGUUCCGAGAGCGGGGAAGCGGUACCGGAAGGAGCCGUGGAGCGAUCGGAAGUGAGAAUGCAGGCAUGAGUAGCGAGAAACAUGUGAGAACCAUGUUCGUUGAAAAUCCAAGGUUUCCGACGUCAAGUCAAUCUGCGUCGGGUUAGUCGGGACCUAAGGCGAGGCCGGAAGGCGUAGUCGAUGGACAGCUGAUUAAUAAUUCAGCACCGGCAGAGUGGAGCGAAGGUGAAAACGAUGGGGGAGUCCAGCCGGUUAGUGGAUUCCGGUGGAUGAACGUCAGCCGAAGAGAUCCGGAGUAAAAAGCACGGGUUGAGGUGAGGGAAGUCAGGAGGCGAAAGCCGUAACUGAGGCGGACCCUGUCGUCAAGAAAAGCAUCUAAGCGAAGAAGCUAAGCCGCCCGUACCGGAAACCGACACUGGUGGAUGAGUAGAGAAUACUAAGACGAACGGGAGAACUAUCGUUAAGGAACUAGGCAAAAAAGCCCCGUAACUUAGGGAGAAGGGGUGCUCGGAGGCUGAGAGGCUGACGAGUCGCAGUGAAAGGGCUCUAGUGACUGGUUAACAAAACCACAGGUCUCUGCGAAGUCGAAAGACGAAGUAUAGGGGCUGACGCCUGCCCAGUGCCGGAAGGUUAAGGGGAAAGGUAAGAAGAAAUUCGAAGCUUAGAACUGAAGCCCCGGUGAACGGCGGCCGUAACUAUAACGGUCCUAAGGUAGCGAAAUUCCUUGUCGGGUAAGUUCCGACCCGCACGAACGGCGUAACAACUGGAGCACUGUCUCAACGAUAGACCCGGUGAAAUUGAAAUGGCUGUGAAGAUGCGGCCUACCCGCAGCAGGACAAAAAGACCCCGUGGAGCUUUACUGUAACCUGGCAUUGGAUUUAGGUAUGGUUUGUGUAGGAUAGGUGGGAGACAGAGAAGGGAGCGCGCCAGCGUUCCUGGAGUCGGCGGUGAAAUACCACCCUGAUCAUAUUUGGGUUCUAACCAUAGACCGUGAAACCGGGUAUGGGACCGUGUCAGGCGGGCAGUUUGACUGGGGCGGUCGCCUCCAAAAGGGUAACGGAGGCGCCCAAAGGUUCCCUCAGACAGAAUGGAAACCUGUCAGAGAGUGUAAAGGCAAAAGGGAGCUUAACUGAGAGACCAACGCGUCGACCAGAUACGAAAGUAGGGCUUAGUGAUCCCACGGUACAGAGUGGAAUGGCCGUGGCUUACCGGAUAAAAGCUACCCCGGGGAUAACAGGCUGGUGAAGUCCAAGAGUUCAUAUCGACGACUUCGCUCGGCACCUCGAUGUCGGCUCAUCGCAUCCUGGGGCUGAACAAGGUCCCAAGGGUCCGGCUGUUCGCCGGUUAAAGCGGUACGCGAGCUGGGUUCAGACCGUCGUGAGACAGGUCGGUCUCUAUCCGCUGUGGGCGAAAGAGAAUUGAGAAGAGCUGCCCCUAGUACGAGAGGACCGGGGUGGACAGACCUCUGGUGUGUCAGUUGUAAUGCCAAUUGCAGCGCUGAGUAGCCACGUCUGGCAGAGAUAACCGCUGAAAGCAUCUAAGUGGGAAACUCGCUUCAAGAUGAGUUCUCUGGACAGAAAUGUAUAAGAUCGCACGGAGACGACGUGCUGGAUAGGUUGGAUGUGAAAGGUCAGCGAUGGCUUGAGCAAACCAAUACUAAUGAUCGAAGGCUUAGACGU